UUUUGGAUAGAGAGGACUUGGACUAACAGACAAACUAAUUUAAGUGAUAAAAUUUAAUUUUUAUUCAUUGCCGGAUAUAGAAUUUUGCCACACUAUCAAGAUGGGAAAAUAUCUUAUUCAUACUAUUGCGACAAUAUUAUUGAUGAACUUCCUUGUGAGUGCUAAUUCAGAAGGAAAUUCGACAACAGCCUCGGAAAGUACGGUAACUACUACUGCAUCAACAAAGGCCACACAGACAAGCACCAAGUCGGGCGGAUCUUCGCCAGCCACCACUGGAUUUCUCCUCGCUUUCCUUCAAUAUUUGACCUGGCAAAAUUUUUGACUUAAGGAGAGAUCUCCAAUUAAACAAGCAUCGUCUAACAGAAUUUUCUUAGAAGAUUAAAUAUUAACACAUAUUUAAAAAUAGUGUAAUACAUUUCUUCAUUGUUGGAACAUGUUAUAUAAAUCCUAAAAUAGAAAUGCAUUUGACGACACAUCCAUGUCUGAAUACAAUUAAAGAUUGCUGAUCCCAAGA